UGGGUUUGACAUGGAUCGGGAGUGCUCAGAGAUGGGUGUGCCUCUUUUGGGGUCGGUUCACAGGUGGUGCAUGGCUGUCGUCAGCUCGUGUCGUGAGAUGUUGGGUUAAGUCCCGCAACGAGCGCAACCCUUGUUCACUGUUGCCAGCACGUUAUGGUGGGGACUCAGUGGAGACCGCCGGGGUCAACUCGGAGGAAGGUGGGGAUGACGUCAAGUCAUCAUGCCCCUUAUGUCCAGGGCUUCACGCAUGCUACAAUGGCUGGUACAGAGAGUGGCGAGCCUGUGAGGGUGAGCGAAUCUCGGAAAGCCGGUCUCAGUUCGGAUUGGGGUCUGCAACUCGACCUCAUGAAGUCGGAGUCGCUAGUAAUCGCAGAUCAGCAACGCUGCGGUGAAUACGUUCCCGGGGC
rnacentral:rRNA from 1 species